CUAGCUUGCUAGUCACUCAGCGCGUUCUUUAUCUUGUGUUUCUGGUUUUGACCCUUGCUUGUCUUUUGUCCUGUUGUCCUCUCCUCUCCUUUGACUCGGCUUGUAUCUCGCUUACCUGUCCUCCGGCUCCCUCGACCUCGGCUUACCUUUUGACUAUUCUUGCUUUGUCCCUACGUUAGUCCGGCCAUUCUAAGGUCCGGUAUACGUACCUCCUUCUGUCCGCACUCUGCGUAUUGGAUCCCUGUCAGUAUCCUGACAGCAAUAGACUGCCAGACCAGCCCCCUCUGAUCCACCCCCCAGGGGUCUGCCCACUGAGAAACAACUAGUUUAGAUAUAUGAGGGUGUUGGACUAUCCAGGGAGGUCAGUUAUUCAUUUUCUUUUUGUCAGUAACUUCUAGGAGACCUAUACCAUCUAAGACUCCCACAAGAAUUCUAUAUGGGGUAAAUAUAUGUAAGGAAUUUCUUGUGUUUUCUCCUAUUUUAUUUUAUGUACUGUGUUGCAAUUUGUUAUCUGUAUGUCAUUUAUUUCUGUAUUUUGUACUCAGCACUGUGAAUCCUUUUUGUCAGAUUAAAUGUUUACUUAAUCAGCUUGUGUCUCUG